GAAAAGAUGACUCGACGAUAUAUUCAUACAGCUGCAGCAGUUUCCAAUCUGGGUGCCAUAAUUCUUCCUUUCCAUCAUAUGAUUUGUUUGAACAUUCGGGUUGUACAUCAAUUGGAAAUGGUUGUUUUCUUGCGGAACCAUCUUGCAAAGGUUCAGACACAACAACCAGUCUUCCAGAAACAACGAAACCAACACACGUUGAGAUUGUCACUAGGAAUUACAGUACAACAGUGUCCACUGAUGAAAAAACUAACCAAACCCUAACAUAUAAAGACUAUGUCAUCUACGAUGAAAUAUUCAUUAUGCUAAUUCUUGCUGGAGUACUUAUUCCAAUCAUUAUAUUCUGUAUCAUUUAUAG